ACGUCAGGCAAGCAAGCUGAAAAGAAGGAUGGAGAACACAGGUUAUGGCUUGCCAGUCCCACAUGAGUAUGCAAGUCAAGGCUCUCUCUGGGGACAGGUCCAAAACAGCACUGGUUCUGAAAGUGGUGGUUAUUUCCCUGCUGUUUCCCCUUUGUGAAGGUGCCCACACAUUAGAAACAAAAGGCAGUAGCAGCCAACUUGAGCUGAAAAGCUGAGGGGAAAAAAUGGGUUUUCAAGGACAGCGUGACACAAUAUGGACUACCUACAAUGAAGACAUAUGAACUCUGGAGCAUACCAAACAAAUUCCUUGCAUAGUUGUUUUCCAGCACAGCAUCAAUCACCACAGGGAUGGGAGAGUGUCCAAAACAGCAGGAGAAAAUGCUACAGCUUGCAGUUCUCGGAUUGUAAUUCAUUUAAAGUCAGGCACAUUAGCUAUACCUUUCUGAGAUCAGAUACAAAUCUCUUUUCUCCUUUUUCCCAUUUGCUACCUGAAAAAAAUUGGGAUUCAAUAUUUAAAGUUGUCCUGUGUGGAUCUUCAGCUUGUAUAAAGUGGCAUACCUGUGCUCAGCAGCUGUUGCUGGUCUUUGAAGGCAGUGGAGCUAUGCUGAUUUACAUCUGCUGAAAUCUGAUCUAUCACUGUAUUUCAUUUGGCUUUUACUUUAGAGGCUUGUUUUUCUUUUACUUUUGCUUGACAUAAUAAAUGGUGUAAUUUCUAGCCCUUA